rnacentral:rRNA from 1 species
UCAUGCCUACGGGAGGCAGCAGUGAGGAAUAUUGAUCAAUGGCCGAAGGGCUGAACCAGCCAAGCCGCGUGAAGGAAUAAGGCCCUACGGGUCGUAAACUUCUUUAGUCAGGGAACAAAGGGAGCCACGCGUGGCGCUGUGAGUGUACCUGAAGAAUAAGCAUCGGCUAACUCCGUGCCAGCAGCCGCGGUAAUACGGAGGAUGCGAGCGUUAUCCGGAUUUAUUGGGUUUAACGGGUACGUAGGCGGUUUGUCACGUCAGCGGUAAAAAUUCCGGGCUCAACCCGGUCCCGCCGUUGAAACUGG